rnacentral:rRNA from 1 species
AUUGAACGCUGGCGGAAUGCUUUCCACAUGCAAGUCGAACGGCAGCACGGGGGCAACCCUGGUGGCGAGUGGCGAACGGGUGAGUAAUACAUCGGAACGUGCCCAGUCGUGGGGGAUAACGUAGCGAAAGCUACGCUAAUACCGCAUACGAUCUAUGGAUGAAAGCGGGGGACCGUAAGGCCUCGCGCGACCGGAGCGGCCGAUGGCAGAGUAGGUAGUUGGUGGGGUAAAGGCUCACCAAGCCUGCGAUCUGUAGCUGGUCUGAGAGGACGACCAGCCACACUGGGACUGAGACACGGCCCAGACUCCUACGGGAGGCAGCAGUGGGGAAUUCUGGACAAUGGGCGCAAGCCUGAUCCAGCCAUUCCGCGUGCAGGAUGAAGGCCCUCGGGUUGUAAACUGCUUUUGUACGGAACGAAACGGUGCUUUCUAAUACAGAGCACAAAUGACGGUACCGUAAGAAUAAGCACCGGCUAACUACGUGCCAGCCGCCGCCGUAAAAC